rnacentral:misc_RNA from 1 species
AAGUCGUAACAAGGUUUCCGUAGGUGAACCUGCGGAAGGAUCAUUACCAAAUGCUUCCACAACCCAUCCACACUUGUGCACCGUCCGACUGACCUGGCGUAUGCCGUCCGGGCCCAGCGCCCGCACGACGCGCCAACAUUAUAUCAACAACAACAUCAUAACCCCAUAUCCAGCCUUACCAGAUGCAGUGUGGUGACUGCAACAAAACUAGAAAACAACUUUUAGCAACGGAUCUCUAGGCUCUU